GGUGUUCAGCCCUCGYUCUCGAGGGCGCACUCGCCCGGUUACGGGCCAGCAUCGGUUCAGGCGGUCGGAUAAAUGCCAVAAGAAUGUGGCUUCCUUCKGGGAGUGUUAURGCUUCGGWGCCMUGCKRCCAGCCCGGACCGAGGAUCGCGCUUCSGCUAGGAUGCUGGCGUAAUGGUUGUAAGCGGMCCGUCUUGAAACACKKACCAAGGASUCKACCCUGCGUGCGAGUGUUUGGGUGUUAAACCCAUGCKCGUAAUGRAAGUGAACSGASGUGGGAAUCCCUUUAGGGAGGCACCRUCSACCGGUCCAGAWGUYYACGGACAGAUCUGAGUAAGAGCACGUACGGUCGGACCCGAAAGGUACGUUUAAUCUUUUUUUAUUGAAGCGAAUUUAUGCUAAUUGAAUGUGUAGAUGGUGAACUAUGCCUGAAUAGGGUGAAGCCAGGGGAAACCCUGGUGGAGGCUCGCAGCGGUUCUGACGUGCAAAUCGAUCGUCAAAUUUGGGUAUAGGGGUAAGUCUUCUGUUAUACAAGUAAACCAAUGACAUUUGCUAACACAUUUUUUCAGGCGAAAGACUAAUCGAACCAUCUAUUUUUUGCUACUUAGUGGUAUUGAGCGUGGCUGCSCUCGGCAUGCUCGCUUCUCAGCUCUUCGGGCACAUGCUACGUGCAUGAUCUACCUCCCGAAUCAGAGGUGACCUGCAGCGCUGC
rnacentral:rRNA from 1 species